rnacentral:lncRNA from 1 species
GAAAAAAGAGGCGGGAGGGCGCAGAAAGUCCUUAAAGGGGCCGCAUGUACGGGCGCCGGGGGCGGGGCCGGCCGGGAAACUGAGGCCGAAAGGAAGUUCCGGUCUGGGCCUCAACGCCACGCCCGCCCGCGGGCUCGCAGCCAGGUCCCUUCACCUGCAGAGGGCCGGUGAGGACCGCCCAGACGGGCGGGCGCGGGCCCCCGCCCCCGAGCUCGCCCCGCGCAGGGCGCCCUGAACCCCGCGGCGCCUCCCCGCUCCGGCCUCGGGAAGGGAAUCCCUGGGCGGGCUUGGGGGUCUUCGGGGCCCACCUCGGCGCCAGACGCACAGCAGGUACCCCUGGGCCCGGGCUGGCCCUGGGCGGAAUGAGAAGCAGAGGCGCCGUCCGUCCUGCCGCCGAAGUCCGCAGCCUCGAACGCAGGGGAGUGCGAGGUCGGCUGCGGACGGACGGACCUGGAGACCGCGCUUGGGAAACCGUGGCUUCGGAGGAGCGUGGUGUGGACCCCACUCGCGGGGCGCCCGGCACAGGCCACGCAGAGCAGACGCCCGACUGGGCUCCCGGGGCUGGGUGCAGGGCGGGGGCCGCCGGCGGCGGGCCGGGGUUUCUUUUUCGGGGGGAUGGGCGUGCCCUUGCAUUACGGUGGUGGUAGCUCACAACUCUGUUAAUCGUGUUUUUACAGGGUGGGUUUCAGGAUGUGUGAGUUAUAUCUCAGUAAAGCAAUUAUUUUAAAAAGGAAAAGAAGAGGGACUCCCUGCGCCGCCCCUCUCUGCAGCACCAGCUUCUGUCCCUGGGCGUCAGUGGCUCCCAGCUCCUAGCUUGCAGCCAGCCCCGAGCCGCUCCUCCGCCUCACCCCUUCCUCACCCUGCCUCUUGCUUCACUGAGCAAGCUGCAGCCAGACCCUCCCUCAGCGCCCCUUGCCCUGUGCAUCCAAUCCCCGGCCUGUGGCUUCCUCCAAGGCACCCAUCCAGCAGUUUCCCUCUGUCUUCUACAGCGUGGUUUUUUUUGUUGUUACUAGUUCUCAUUAGUAUAAAAGGGUGCCGUUUCUCCCAUACUAACAAAACCCUCUCUUUAUCCAACUUUUCUUACCAAUUGCUAAGUCCAGUCUCCUUUACACUGCCCCGGGGUGUCCUCUCAGCCCUCAGGCUCAACAGCACAGCCAAGCUGCCCGUCCACUGCCCUCUGUAUCCGCUGAUGGCCCUGCAGCCUUUUUUUUUUUUUUUUUUUUUUUUUUUUUUGAGACAAAGUCUCGCUUUGUCACCCAGGCUGGAGUGCAGUGGCACGAUCGCGGUUCACUGCAGCCUCCGCCUCCCGGGUUCAAACGAUUCUCCUGCCUCAGCCUCCCGAGUAGCUGGGAUGACAGUCACCCGCCACCACGCCCAGCUCAUUUUUGAAUUUUUAGUAGAGACGGGGUUUCACCAUGUUGGUCAGGCUGGUCUCGAACUCCUGACUUCAGGUGAUCCGCCCGCCUCGGCCUCCCAAAGUGCUGGGAUUACAGGCGUGAGCCACCGUGCCUGGGCCACCGUGCCUGGGCCUGCCCUGCAUCCUUCUGUUCGCUUGGACCAAUUAUCUGACUCACUUGGGCUUCUCUCUUCCUCUCACUCCAUGCCCAUUUGGUUUGCAAAUCCUGACAGCCCUACCUUCAGAACACAUCCAGAUCUGAGCACGUCCCACUGCCUCAUUGCCACUGCCAAUUCCUGGCCACCCCUGCAGCAGGUCACUGCCGUCACCUUGUCUUUCCCUUGCACCCUGGUACCCCUAGACCAUCAUGCAGCAACCAGAGGGACCUUUGAAAGUCUAAGGUCGGAUCACAGGAUUCCUCUACACAAAAUCCUCCGACGGCUCCCAUCCCAGGGCAAGGCAAAACCUGUCGUGGCCUGUGUUUGCUGCCCCCUGCAUCCCACCGGUUGACUUCUCCAGCCUGCUCUUGCUGCCACACGGCCUCUGGGGAGCGGAUCCCUCUGCCGGGAAGCUUCUGCCAGUAUCCACAGAGUUCCUUGCCUCCUUCCAGCCACUGCUCAUGUCUCACCCUGAGCAAAUACUUCUGCACCCGCUCACCUCCCUGGCUCAACACCCCCCAUCCGUUUUCUAAACCUGCCGUGCUUGUUCCCAGGGCACUUCUGGCCCUUGUGUCACACAGACUUACUGUCUUACUAGGUGAUUCGCUUUUUUCUCUUCACUCCUAAAACAUACAGUCCCUGAAAAUAGGGAUCUUUGUUUCAUGAAGCCAGACAAAAAGCAGGUGCUCAAUAUUUGUUGAAUGCUGGAUAAGAUUAGAAAGCCAAGAUAAAUCAUGAUGAGAGUUAGACGAUAUUCUUGUUUGUUUUUGUUUGAGACAGAGUCUUGCUCUGUCGCCCAGGCUGGAGUGCAGUGGUGUGAUCUCGGCUCACUGCAACCUCUGCCUCCCAGGUUCAAAUGAUUCUCGUGUCUUGGCCUCCCAAAUAGCUGGGAUUACAGGCGCCCACCACCACGCCCAGCUAAUUUUUGUAUUUUUAGUAGAAACAGGGUUUCACCAUAUUGGCCAGGCUGGUCUCGAACUCCUGGCCUCAAGUGAUCUGCCCACCUCAGCCUCCGAAAGUGUUGGGAUUACAGGCAUGAGCCACUGCACCAAGCCAAGAAUUAGAAGAUACUUCUAAAAGAUAUUUUAAAAGAACCAAUGGAAACUUAGAGAUGAUAAAACCCAAGCAGGAUAAACAAAGAAAACCACCCAAGGCACAUCUUAAAUUGCAGAAAACUAGUGACAAAUCUUAGAAGCAGUCAGAUUAAACAAGGCGUAUGACAUACAGGCACAAAGAAGCCAAGGAUUUCUUGUCCCCUCCUCCCCCUCCACCCAAAAAAAAAAGCCAGAAGAAAAUGGAACAUCUUUAAGGUGGUAAAAGAAAAAAUACUGUCAAUCUAGAACUGUAUAUGCAGCAAUAUAGCCUUUAAAAACUGAGGUGAUGUAAAAGCAUUUUCAGACAAAAGCUGCAUGAAUUAUGACCAGCAGAUUUGCAGUCCAGGAACUGUUAUAGGAUGCUCUUCAGAUGAAAGGAAAAUGAUACCAGAGGCAAACUUUAUAAAAGGAAUGAAAAGUUCUAUAAAUACUUUUUUUUUUUGAGACGGAGUUUCACUCUUGUCACCCAGGCUGGAGUGCAAUGGUGCGAUCUUGGCUCACUGCAACCUCUGCCCUCUGGGUUCAAGCGAUUUUCCUGCCUCAGCCUCCCGAGUAGCUGGGAUUACAGGCACGUGCCACCACGCCUGGCUAAUUUGUGUAUUUUUAGUGGAGACAGGGUUUCACCAUGUUGGUCAGGCUGGUCUCGAAUUCCUGACCUCAUGAUCUGCCUCCUGGAGGUGGCAAUACCUUAGAUGCGAGAAGGAUCUAAAUCUGCAGGAAGAUAUACCAUAUUCAUGGGUUGAGGACUCAAUAUUGUUAUGAUUUAUAAGUCCUUGUUAUGGACUGAAUUGUGGCCCCUGCCUACCAAAUUCCUAUGUCGAAGCCCUAACCUCCAAUGUGACUUUAUUUGGAGAUGAGGCCUUUAAAGAGGGGAACGUUAAAUGAGAUUCUAGGGAUAGAGCCCUCAUCUGAUAGGACUGAUGUCCUCGUAAGAUGAAGAGACUCCUGAGAUGUGUGUGCACAGGAGGAAGUCCACCACGAGAGGUACACAGUGAGAAGGGGGCCGUCUGCAAGCCGGGAAGAGAGGCCUCACCGGGAGCCAACCCUGCCAGCAUCUCCUCUAGAACCGUGAAGAAAUAAAUGUCCAUUGUUUAAACCCGCUAGUCCGUGGUCUUCUGUUACGGCAGCCGAGCAAACUAAUACCGUCCCCAAAUAGGGAUGAUAGGUUCACUGCAGUUCCAGUGACAAUCCCAGCACACUUUUUACAGUGUUCAGCAGACACUGAUGAGUUGAUUUUACAACGUGCGUGGAAAUGCAACAGACCUAGGACCACCAAGACCAUUCUGAAAAAGCAGAACUGGAGGACUCAUCAUACCCCCUGGUUUCAAGAUUUGCCUUAAAACGGCAAUAGUUAAGAUAAUGUGGUGUUAGGACAAGGAUAGACCUAAAGGCCAGUCUAACAGAAGGUAGUGUCCAGAAAUAAACCCCAACUUAAC